rnacentral:rRNA from 1 species
GACGAACGCUGGCGGCGUGCCUAAUACAUGCAAGUAGAACGCUGAAGGAGGAGCUUGCUUCUCUGGAUGAGUUGCGAACGGGUGAGUAACGCGUAGGUAACCUGCCUGGUAGCGGGGGAUAACUAUUGGAAACGAUAGCUAAUACCGCAUAAUAGUAGAUGUUGCAUGACAUUUGCUUAAAAGGUGCAAUUGCAUCACUACCAGAUGGACCUGCGUUGUAUUAGCUAGUUGGUGGGGUAACGGCUCACCAAGGCGACGAUACAUAGCCGACCUGAGAGGGUGAUCGGCCACACUGGGACUGAGACACGGCCCAGACUCCUACGGGAGGCAGCAGUAGGGAAUCUUCGGCAAGGGACGGAAGGCGGAACGAGCAACGCCGCGGGAGUGAAGAAGGGUGUCGGAUCGUAAAGAUCUGUUGUAAGAGAAGAACGAGUGUGAGAGUGGAAAGUUCACACUGUGACGGUAUCUUACCAGAAAGGGACGGCUAACUACGUG